AGAUUACUAAUAGAGUAAAUAAUGAUAUAACAAAAAGAAGAAUUGCAAUAAGCAUUUGAUAAUCUACCGUUCGAGUUAAAUCGUUAACGACCAAGGAAAUAUAAGUCAACGAUUGAUCAUUUGAUCCCAAAGGAAAAGAAUGCUACAACGAGCAUCUUUCUAUGACUAAAGUCAAUGCUCUGGUAAAGUCAAAUCCUCUUAUGAACAAAGAAAUAGAGUUAACAAAUCAAGGUAAAUGCAC
rnacentral:lncRNA from 1 species